rnacentral:lncRNA from 1 species
AGCUCAUACUCCAGUGAGGGAGGCAAUAAGCAAGUAACCAAGCAGGGAGAAGCGUAAGGCCUCUUGGUGGAAGCUCCUCACUAUAGAAACCAUAAGUAAGUUCGACUAUGGUGCAGAGCAGGGAGAGGAUGGAGAAAACAGAUUUUGUAACAAAGCAGGCUGUAUACAGAAUUACUACCUAAACCCAGUACUAGCCCUUAUAGUGGAAGGUCCAGUUCUCCAGGAAACAGACUGUAAGAUGGAGAUCUGCAUUCAGAAACUUUGUAGAGAAGUGCUUAAAGAACCACAGCUGUGAAGGAUAAGAGAAACAGGCCUGAGCAGAAGGAGAAGUUGCACUUGAUUGCAACAGAAGCUUCAGCCAACUCCACUAAUAUCAGAAACUGAAGUAUAAUUAGAAACUGUGUUAUGAACAAUCAGGAUUUGUGGAAAGCAGAAAACUUGAAAAAUACAGAAACUGUCAUAAUCCCACCAGCACAAAUACUGU